rnacentral:lncRNA from 1 species
AAGAAAGUCUUCUGUUUUCCAGAAUAAAAUACAGUUUUGGAAACUGAAGCAACAGGCCUUUAAGAACUCUGGACAAAAAUAUCUGUAAUGGAAUAUCAACUGUGCUACAAAGGUAGCUCCAAUCUCUGGGUGAGAUACAAGACAGAAGGAAGAGAUCUCCUCAUGUUUGCUUACUCUUUGACCUCUGGAUUUCCUAGAGAGUUCAGCAAACACCCUUCUAUGGUCCUACGACAGACAGUGGGAAUGAAAGGCUGCUGUUGGAUCUGUUCUUGC